AACCUUUACAAUGCGCGCAAGCGUGGUAAGGGAACCCCAAGUGAUAAUGCAUUGCAUUAUCUUUUGCCAAGAGCAAAUAUCUUNGCGAAUAAGUGGUGGGCAAUACCUGAACCAGCCGCCGCGGUAACCCAGGAGCCACAAGUGGCAACCACCUUUAUUUGGCCUAAAGCGUCCGUAGCCGGCUGUGUAAAUUUCCUGUGAAAUCGUUGUGCCUAACGCAACGACGUGCAGGAAAAACUGCAUGGCUCGGGACCGGGAGGAGUCAGAGGUAUUUCGGGGGGAGCGGUAAAAUGCUAUAAUCCCCGAAGGACCACCUGUGGCGAAGGCGUCUGACUAGAACGGAUCCGACGGUGAGGGACGAAAGCUAGGGGAGCAAUCCGGAUUAGAUACCCGAGUAGUCCUAGCUGUAAACUCUGCGAGCUAGGUGUUACACAAUCUUCGGGAUUGUGUAGUGUCGUAGCGAAGGCGUUAAGCUCGCCGCCUNGGGAGUACGGUCGCAAGGCUGAAACUUAA
rnacentral:rRNA from 1 species